CAACUACUCGCUCUGUCCCAAAUUUCUUGUCUUAGAUUUGUCUAGAUAUGGAUGUAUCUAAUACUAAAAUGUAAUUUGAUACAUCCGUAUCUAGACAAAUCUAAGACAAGAAUUUUGGGACGGAGGGAAUACUUU
rfam:Triticum aestivum genome assembly, contig: Triticum_aestivum_CS42_TGACv1_scaffold_628830_7DS